UACGUAGGGGGCUAGCGUUGUUCGGAAUUACUGGGCGUAAAGCGCACGUAGGCGGCUUUGUAAGUUAGAGGUGAAAGCCCGGGGCUCAACUCCGGAAUUGCCCUUAAGACUGCAUCGCUAGAAUUGUGGAGAGGUAAGUGGAAUUCCGAGUGUAGAGGUGAAAUUCGUAGAUAUUCGGAAGAACACCAGUGGCGAAGGCGACUUACUGGACACAUAUUGACGCUGAGGUGCGAAAGCGUGGGGAGCAAACAGG
rnacentral:rRNA from 1 species